AUCCCAUCCGAUCCAUUUGCAUCUCUACUCAUGCCGUCUCAUUGCCUCCCCACGAAACUUCUCACUUCCACUCCCUCCUCGUCCUCUUCCUCCUCCUCCUGCUCCACCUUCGCCUCCGCCGCCCCGAUUACGUCCCCAUGUACCCUCGGCCGGCCAUCUCCGACGCUCUGUCGUCUUCACCUCUGGCCUCUGAGAAGCCCGGGAUCCGUCUCACCCGGCGCCUCGCCUCUGCGUGCUUCUUCUCGCGGCGUCUCUUCUGGAGGAGGGAUGGGGGACCAAGCGGUAUCGUAUCUCUCCCAGAAAGAUGCGGCGGUGAUCGACGAGAUCCUCAUGGGUCCUCUUGGUGACUUCAGCGUCGAACAGUUGAUGGAAUUCGUGGGACUGAGCGUGGCUACCUCGAUAGCGGAGAUAACGGGGUCCUUAUCGGAUCGUAGGGCCUAGGAAAUAAUGGUGGUGAUGGUCUGGUAGCUGCUGGUCACCUAUAUCACUUUGGAUAUAAACUGUUUGUUUGUCGUGCAAAAGGCACACCCAAAACCUAUCUACACUGGCCUUGUAACCCAGGUACUGUGUGGUGUCCUUGGUGAGUCAAUGUCGCCACACGCUUUUGGCCAUGAUGAUUUAUUUUUUAAAAUUUUAUUUUGUAGCUGGAAUCACUAUCAAUCCCAUUCUUGUCUGUUAAAGAACUGCCAUAUAAUUUAUCAGAUGAUUUUAACCUUAUUAUGGAUCAAGGAUUACCGAGCCAUCCCGACGGCAAUCCAGGAUGGUUCGGCCAAGCAAAACAGCAUACCGAAGGAGGGAGAGGAAAAGAGAGGAAGAGAGAGAGAGAGGAGAGAAGGGAGAUAGGGGACGACGUCGUCAGAGGCCAGCGUUGGCCCGUUGAGGCCGUCGGAGGGCCACGGAGGCCUUUGCAGCUUAGCAUUGGCCGAUAGGAUAUUUAAUCGAGCAAGAAAGAGAGAGAGAAAGGGGGAGCAAUGGUAUCGGAGGGAGGCACAGUCGGCAGAGAGAUUGUAGAAGGGUGCCGGAUGGCCGUCGUGGCCACCAGAUGGUGGAAAAUGCACUGACGAAGCCAUGGCUGCAGGACAGGGGCGACCGUCUUUGUUCACUCAUUGGCUUUUUUUAAACAAAGAUGAAUAGUAAAGUCGGCAAUUGAUCUACCUUCUUCACUGAAGUGAAGUCGAUAGAUUCAUUACCGGCUUCACUGUUUGAGGAUUUUUUUAAAAAAUCUAAGAAACAGUGAAGCCAAUAAUGGUUGUGUCGGUAAAUUAUUGCCGGCUUCGCUGUAAUUGAAGUUUUUUAAAAAAACCCUCAUGAAAUAGGGACGAUUGCCCUUGUUUCAUUCCUGUGGCACCAGAGGCCGUAAUUGCGCCAUCCAACAGUUACGGCGGCCAGUCGGAGGCCCUCCAGCAGCUUCUCCUCCCUCCUUUUCUCUCCCUCUUCUACCCUCCCCUCUCUCUUGUCCUCCUCUUGGUUUUCUUCUUCUCCUCUGUGUUGGUUCGCACCAAUCCGGUCCGGUAUGGACCUGUACCGACCCAUACUGCCAGUCGGCCAGCAUGGGCUUCGGUACCAAGUCCGCUGACCUUGUUGUGGAUGCAAUAUUGUGUUUCUUAUUUCAUGGUAACCAAAGUUGUCAUUACUUUUUAUUAGAUUUUUGUCUCUCAAUAUGGUAUCAGCAGGUUAUUUUAUUACUUUGAUUGUAUGUACGUGUAGGAAUUGUGAAAGUUGGAGAAUACUUAAUUUUUCUUUUUUUCCUAUGUCAUCCUGGCAUUAUCGUAUGUUCAUAUCUCUUUAUGUAGUUGACAGGAUAAGACUUGCUUGCAGUUACUUCACACAUGUAUUUAUGGCUAAUAGUUUUGACCCUUACAAAAUUAGGUCAACUGAGGUCACCUUUAGAUGAUCUUAUCCAAAGGCUUGCUUCACUGAGCAUUAUGGACAAUGGUUUUGAAAGAAACUUGCCAAUUGUUUCUGUUGGCAUUCCUUCUGGAUGGCAUGUCGAAGGGGGAGAUAUCAACAGAGGAGUUAAACCUGACAUGCUGGUUAACAUCCGACAUGAAACCUUAAUUAUGGAUAAAAGUAUAUUGUUGGUCUUCAUUUUAGCUUGAGCGAACUCUCAUUAAAGUUACUAUGGCUAUGUAUCAUUAACUUCUCCAAAGCUCUGUCCAAAAAACAAAAAUAUUGGGCCCCCCACUUUCUAGGGGGUAGAUUUGUUCCAUCAUCCAUUAUAAAUAAGUAUGGACUUAGCCUUCCUUCAUAUCCCGGCACUUUGAUGUGUGUGAAAAUUGGAAAACUUCCAUCAUUUGACAUCUCAUCACUGAGGGAAAACUGCAUUUCUCCUGAGCUUUUUGAAGAUCAAGUGGUGGCUGACCAUGUAGAUCAGAUAUGUGUAUUGUUUGACAUUUAAGCUUCAUUCUUCACCUGAUAUAUUAAAUAUUUGUACCUAUUAAGUAUUAAAUAAUUUGUUAAACUCGAGCAAAUUUCAACCAUCAUCGCUUCAUUUUUUUUCCCUUCUAUUUUAAUAUGCAAACUUUGUUGCUGCCACAAUCCUCUUGUAGUUCCAUAAGUGGUUUGAUGAAGCAGUUGCUGCUGGCUUGCGAGAGGCAAAUGCUAUGGCCCUAUCGACUUCUGGCAGGGAAGAAAAACCAUAUGUUGUUUGCUUGGCUUCCUCACUUGUUGUCUGUCACUUUUCAAUGUCUCAUCAACUGCAAAUUUGCAUGUGCUUGAAAUUCUGUUGUGAUUAUGCUGAACUUGGUCCUCUUGUUUGUGCAUUCAUCAUGAAUGGUCCUGCUAAAAGGAGCUGGUAAGCGAGGAUUUGUUUGGCUAGUCUUGUUCUACAAACUGAUCAUAUUAAAUUUCUGAUUCAUUCAUAUUCAUAUUUCUGUUAUAAAUUAUAUGUGGAUGCUAAAGGCACUUAUAGAUUUGAAAUUCAUUUAUCUUUCUGUAUCACUUCAGUUUUGUUUCUUUAGGUAUACCAAUUAUGAAAGCUGAAAGGAUCAAGAAUUAUCUGAAAAUCCUUAUGCCUCACUUCUUUUCUACUGGAAUUCUCUUAACUGCCCGGUGAUGCAGAGUCUAUUUUGUACUAUUUUUACUAUGAUUUGUGUUAUUUUGUCAGAUAUUGACCGAGAUAGUUUAAACAAUAUGAAAUGGACAGGUACAAGAACUCUUUCUAUAGAUGCUCUCUUCUUGUAUAUGUUUCUACUUAGGACACUGUAAGAGAGAAUAAGUAGUUAACUUGUUAGUAAAAGUGAUUUCAUAUUAGCACGUCUGCCAACGUUAUUGUUGAUCCCAGGCUCUAGGUUGAGUUGAUCCAUUUAACUACAUGUCUAUGUUAGCACAAAAAUUUGGAUUGGUUGUCAGCCCUGAUUGACUCGUGCGCACAUCAGUAUGCUCAUAGAUUCUGAGGAGCUUGCUGGGAACCGAGAAAAGAGAAGAUUUUUAUAGGCAUAUUAAAACUCAACCUAGGAGUAGUACUGACAGUGUUGGAAAUAGAUUCAGAUAAGGGAGGCCAAAGAUUUUCUCAAUAAGAAGAGAGGCUUCAAUUUGCUUUGGAGGCUUAUAAAAGAUGAGGAAAACAGGUAAACAUCAAUAUUAGUGGUGAGACAAGAUAGGAAAAGGCUUGCAGUGUCACAAGAUGCACUUGAUGAUAGGAACUUGGUGAAGAAUAUUUCAUAAUGAUAGCAUCAAAUGGAUAGUAUAAGUAAUGCUUUCCUUUGAAAGCUUGGAUUUUUUUUUUUUUUUUUGAUUAUUGUUUCUCAAAACCCUGCCUGGUAUGUAUAAAUUUUUCUAGUUUUCUUUCAUACAAACAGAGAUAGAUUUCUUGAUGAAAGAAGGAACGCAUUCUUGAUGCUUAGAACUAGUUAUGUCAUCUUUGGUUUGUGUUAUAACUAACCUUUUAUCAGUAAAAAUCUAUAACCUUAUAUAGAUGUCAAAAUCAGUAUGUUAUUCAUCACCAUGUGUUGGUUCAACUGGAGAACAUGCCCAGGGCAUGUUAUUGACUCACUGUCCUUAAUAAAAUAUGCUGAACUAUUCUGAUGGAAAAAGAGAAGGAAAUCCAACAUCCUUCUUUACCAUCUGGUUGGUUUACAAUGUGUGAGAUUAUCAGCAUCAAAAUUUGCAGGCUAGAGUAGAAAGUGCUGUUCAAAAGGUUUCUGAUGAGGAAUCUGAAAGGUACUUCCGCAGUUGUCCUCAGCUUGGAGCAUACUUGGCAAUCAGAGUGCUGUCAUAGCUGGAAGGCAUGUGCUUUACCAAGCAUUCAAGGAUUUGGAAGAAAGAUACUCUAAUGGAUCGAGUAGGUAAAACGACCUGAUUUUCUGUACUAUGAUCAAACAGGAGAUUAAUUCCAAAACCAGAGGAUUGUGGUGGUUAUAGACUAAAAACAACAUUCGAAUGUUGGCAAGGACAAACUUCUUUUCUGCAUGAUCAGCAGGUUGCAGUACUCACUGAGAGAAGUAGAUGGGAAACAAGUAUGGCAUAUCGGAAGGCUGUACCUAUGACUGGUACCCUCAUUUUCUACCCUAUAACAAUAAAUAAGCACCACAAUGAGUUCUUUUUAUUGCAACUUCUUCACCCAUAGGAUUCCACCAAAACUCAAAACUUUUCAUAGCAUGGAACCGUGCCUUGUUUGCUUGCAUGGACUUGUUGGAUCUUUGUUUGUGAGAUACAGUCUCCAUGAAAGAUGUGGAACAAAAGCAUCCAAUGGCUAUUGAGUGCUAGCCUGCCAUCUGACUUGCUGUUGUGAUCUUAAGAUCUGAAAGCCUACUGGUCCUGGAUGACAUCUGUGUGUGGCUGCCAUUGGCACCCCACCAGCUUUCCAUGAUCCCAAAAUUUAUUUUAUUUUUU